rnacentral:rRNA from 1 species
GACGUAGGUGGCGAACGUUAUCCGGAAUUAUUGGGCGUAAAGGGUGCGUAGGCGGCUUGAUAAGUUAUUGGCGGCAAAUCGAGGCUCAACCUCGUGGAAACUAAUAAUACUGUCUUGCUUGAGUGCAGAAGAGGUUAACGGAACUCCAUGUGGAGCGGUAAAAUGUGUAGAUAUAUGGAAGAACAUCAAUAACGGCGAAGGCAGUUAACUAUUCUGUUACUGACGUUGAGGCACGAAAGCGUGGGGAGCAAAAAGG